CAAAGGUAGCAUAAUCAUUAGAGGUUUAAUUGGAAUCUAGAAUGAAGGGUUGGAUGAAAGAAAGACUGUCUUUAUAAAUAUAAAUUGAAAUUUACUUUUAAGUGAAAAGGCUUAAAUAAAUCAAAGGGACGAUAAGACCCUAUAAAACUUUAUAAUUAAUUUUAAUUCAAUUAACUUGAUAUAUAAAAAUUGAGUUUAAUUAUUUUAUUUUAUUGGGGUGAUAUGAGUAUAAUUAAUAUUAACUGCUUAAAUAACAUUCUAUUAUAAGAGAAUUAUAGUAUGAUGAUCCUAUAUGUAGAUUAAAAGACUAAGUUACUUUAGGGAUAACAGCGUUAUUUUUUUUGAGAGUUCAUAUCGAAAAAAGAGAUUGCGACCUCGAUGUUGAAUUAAAAUAUCUAUAUAAUGAAGCCGUUAUAAAAGAGGGUCUGUUCGACCUUUAAAUUUUUACAUGAUUUGAGUUCA
rnacentral:rRNA from 1 species